rnacentral:rRNA from 1 species
UGCGUAGGCGGUUCGUUAAGUCUGUCGUGAAAGCCCUGGGCUCAACCUGGGAAUGGCGAUGGAUACUGGCGAGCUAGAGUCAGGUAGAGGGUGGCGGAAUUCCCGGUGUAGCGGUGAAAUGCGUAGAUAUAUGGAAGAACACCAGUGGCGAAGGCGGCUGUCUGGUCUGCAACUGACGCUGAGGCUCGAAAGCAUGGGUAGCAAACA